rnacentral:rRNA from 1 species
UCGAGGAUCAUUCGCAAUGCGCGAAAGCGUGACGAUGCGACGCUGCGUGGAGGAUGAAGGCCUUCGGGUCGUAAACUCCUGUCAUUCGGGAACAAUGCCUUAAGGGUGAACAAUCCUUGAGGAAAGAUAGUACCGGAAGAGGAAGUCACGGCUAACUCUGUGCCAGCAGCCGCGGUAAUACAGAGGUGGCAAGCGUUGUUCGGAUUUACUGGGCGUAAAGGGUGCGUAGGUGGUCUUGUGUGUCGGGCGUGAAAUUCUGCCGCUCAAUGGCAGAACUGCGUUCGAAACUGCAAGGCUGGAGUGCAUGAGAGGAAAGCGGAAUUCUUGGUGUAGCGGUGGAAUGCGUUGAUAUCAAGAGGAACACCGGUGGCGAAGGCGGCUUUCUGGAAUGCAACUGACACUGAGGCACGAAAGUUGGGGGAGCAAACAGG